CAUUUCUCAUGGGCACUCACAGAACUGAAACAGCAUGAUUUGCAAGCUCGCUAAAUGGAUUUCUUCCAAGCAAGUCAUUGGGAGGGAUGAAUGGAGAGAGUGAAUGGAACCAAGCCAAAGCAUAGCAGUGACUGCGGGCUUUGGCUAUGGAUGGGACCAGCUGGUGACCUCUUUGGUAGGGCAUGGCCAGGAUGCUUCUGCAAGGAGACGUGGCUGGGAACCCAAAAUCCCUCUCCUGCCCGUGCCCCAGCCCCUUCCUGCAAACACUUCUUACCAAGCAGCCAGGAUUGUCUGGAAAGCGUUCCUUGUGAGAGACAAACUGGAUCUGUAAGUGGAAACGUCAGUUUUUAAGAAUCUCUGCCUCUGCUUUGAAGUAACUUCACUUUUUGUUUGAUU
ensembl:lncRNA